rfam:Myotis lucifugus cont2.58626, whole genome shotgun sequence.
GCCAGUUUAGCUAAGCAGUUAGAGCAUCAGCCUGAAAACUGAAGGGUUGCAGGUUCGAUUCCUGUCAAGGGCA